rnacentral:rRNA from 1 species
ACGGGAGGCAGCAGUGGGGAAUAUUGGGCAAUGGGCGCAAGCCUGACCCAGCAACGCCGCGUGAAGGAAGAAGGCUUUCGUGUUGUAAACUUCUUUUGACAGGGAAGAGAAGAAGACGGUACCUGUCGAAUAAGCCACGGCUAACUACGUGCCAGCAGCCGCGGUAAUACGUAGGUGGCAAGCGUUGUCCGGAUUUACUGGGUGUAAAGGGCGUGUAGCCGGGUCGGUAAGUCAGAUGUGAAAUCUACGGGCUCGACUCGUAAACUGCAUUUGAAACUGCUGAUCUUGAGUAUCGGAGAGGCAAUCGGAAUUCCUAGUGUAGCGGUGAAAUGCGUAGAUAUUAGGAGGAACACCAGUGGCGAAGGCGGAUUGCUGGACGACAACUGACGGUGAGGCGCGAAAGCGGGGGGAG